AUGGCCUGGACUCCUCUCUUCUUCUUCUUUGUUCUUCAUUGCUCAGGUUCUUUCUCCCAACUUGUGCUCACUCAGUCAUCUUCAGCCUCUUUCUCCCUGGGAGCCUCAGCAAAACUCACGUGCACCUUGAGUAGUCAGCACAGUACGUACACCAUUGAAUGGUAUCAGCAACAGCCACUCAAGCCUCCUAAGUAUGUGAUGGAGCUUAAGAAAGAUGGAAGCCACAGCACAGGUGAUGGGAUUCCUGAUCGCUUCUCUGGAUCCAGCUCUGGUGCUGAUCGCUACCUUAGCAUUUCCAACAUCCAGCCUGAAGAUGAAGCAAUAUACAUCUGUGGUGUGGGUGAUACAAUUAAGGAACAAUUUGUGUAA